CCAGAAUUGGCUUAGAAGGUAAAGCAUCUGCCUGCAAUGCGGGAGACCUGGGUUCAAUCUCUGGGUCAGGA
rnacentral:tRNA from 1 species